rnacentral:rRNA from 1 species
AGAGCGAACGCUGGCGGCAGGCUUAACACAUGCAAGUCGAGCGGGCGUAGCAAUACGUCAGCGGCAGACGGGUGAGUAACGCGUGGGAACAUACCUUUUGGUUCGGAACAACACAGGGAAACUUGUGCUAAUACCGGAUAAGCCCUUACGGGGAAAGAUUUAUCGCCGAAAGAUUGGCCCGCGUCUGAUUAGCUAGUUGGUGAGGUAAUGGCUCACCAAGGCGACGAUCAGUAGCUGGUCUGAGAGGAUGAUCAGCCACAUUGGGACUGAGACACGGCCCAAACUCCUACGGGAGGCAGCAGUGGGAAUAUUGGACAAUGGGCGCAAGCCUGAUCCAGCCAUGCCGCGUGAGUGAUGAAGGCCCUAGGGUUGUAAAGCUCUUUUGUGCGGGAAGAUAAUGACGGUACCGCAAGAAUAAGCCCCGGCUAACUUCGCGCCAGCAGCCGC